CGCCUGUUUAUCAAAAACAUGUCUUUUUGUUAAUUAUUUAAAGUCUGGCCUGCCCAAUGAUUUUAUUUAAUGGCCGCAGUAUUUUGACUGUGCAAAGGUAGCAUAAUCAUUAGUUUUUUAAUUGAAAGCUGGUAUGAAUGGUUGGAUGAAAAAUUAACUGUCUCAUUUUAAUUUUAUUAGAAUUUUAUUUUUAAGUUAAAAUGCUUAAAUGUUUUAUAAAGACGAGAAGACCCUAUAGAGUUUAAUAUUAUAAUAAUUUAUUUAUUUUAUGUUUUUAAUUUAGAUUUUUUGUUUUGGUAUUUUGCUGGGGCGGUUAGAAAAUUUAUUUAACUUUUCUUUUAUUUUUACAUUUAUUUUUGAGUUUAUGAUCCUUUUUAUUGAUUUUAAGAUUAAAUUACCUUAGGGAUAACAGCGUAAUUUUUUUGGAAAGUUCAUAUUUAUAAAAAAGUUUGCGACCUCGAUGUUGGAUUAAAAUUUAUUUUUGGUGAAGAAGCUAAAAUAUUAGGUCUGUUCGACCUUUAAAAUUUUACGUGAUCUGAGUUUAGACCGG
rnacentral:rRNA from 1 species